GGACAUUAGACUUGGUAUGGAUUUUGGAUGAAAAGGAAUUGAGCUCAGGGAUAGUUGUGCAAUAUUUUAAAAUUAAAUUUAGAAAAUAGGUUUUGGAGUUUUUGAAUUCGAGUGAAUUUUGGAUUUGAAUUUUCGGGCACUCGAGACUCGGGAGGUAGUUUAUUUGUUUAGUUUACAGUGGAGCAAUCGGGCGGGGCAGCUGGAGGUCCGGAUGGCAUCUAAUUGGGCGUGACCCAUAUAAAAUGAACAUUAACGGGCCG
rnacentral:lncRNA from 1 species